rnacentral:lncRNA from 1 species
ACAACUUUUCUGUGUUAGCACCAAAUUAAACCCCAAAUUUAAAAGUAAGAGUUUGUUUUGGUCUUGCAACUUUCGAAUCGCUAAACCUCCAUUCAACAUCAGUGUAUAACAAUAUUUCCAGCUAAUGAGUGAUGGUUUUCUACCUGAGCUUGCUGUUCCCAACAAGAAACCGCGAGCUAGCUUUUCAAUUUCCUUGCAGAUCGUGAUUGGAAUUUGAGCUGUAGCCAUAAAAUAAUUGGGGAUCACUUCUUGGGCAGCAAUAAUGUCAUCAGAAAUAUUUCGCAAUGCAAUGAAACUUGAGUUAUUCUUUUUUACUAGCACUUGCAUAGCUUGUUAAAGACAAAUAACAAUAGUUUGUGUAAUAAUUUUAUACAGACCCGUACAUAAGCUAAUGGGCCUAUAUUGACUGAUCAACUCUGCACCAAUGCUUUUAGGAAUAAGGGCCAAGAGAGUUCUGUUAAGUUUCUGGUCUGAAGCUCCUCCUAAAACAAUAGAUUGAACCAUCUAAAAGACACUGCUUCCUACGAUAUCCCAAUUUGCUUGGUAAAAUUAGGCAUGAAAAUCAUCCACACCCAACGCUUUGAGCGAGGCCAUGCUAAAAAAAAUAACAUUAAAUCUCCUCUAUAUUGACCUCGGUACAUAGAUCACUAAUAAUAUGAGAUCACAAAUUCGAAAAACUCCCCUUGACAAAAAAGCUCCCAAUCUAGUAUGGGUCCAUUGUAUAUAAAGCUGAGAAAUACUCAACCGUAUGCCUUGUAAGGAUUUCAUUAUCAUAGAACCAUUUAUUACCCUCUAUUUUCAAACCCGCAAUUUAGUUAUGUCGAUGCCUCUUCAUUGUGAGAUUAUGGAAGAAAUUUGUAUUUUUGUCCCCAUUCAAUAACCACUCACUCUUGGACUUCAGAAACCAAAAUAUUUCCUCUUGGUUCAGUAUGUUUUCAAUUCCAAGUCGCACUUCUUCUUCCCUCAAUCUAAGCCUCAUGUUAUUAUUUCAUUCCCAGGCUUUUUGCAUGCGUUCAAGUUUCAUCUUUCCUUUUCUUUUCCUAGCAAAAAUGUUACCAAACACUGUUCUAUUCCUGACUUGGAUCAAUCGAGUCAAGUUCUCUAAAUUCAUCCCAAUUUUCACAUCGUUACUCCAACAUUUUAACACAACAUCUCGGAACUCAGGGUGCGUUAACCAACUAGCAAGAAAGCUAAAUGGUCGAUCUCUUUCCAUUGAACUCUCCGGAUGCGUCAAGAUCAACAACGGUUGAUUGUCAGACUUCAACCUGUGUAGGUGUCACACAGUUGUACUAGAUGCAAAAGCCUGCCAAUACUCAUUGCAAAUAGAUUGAUCCAAUCUUUGAAAUAAAUUUCCCUUAUUCCGCGUGGACAUUGGUCCUUGAAAUCAUAAAUCGAGAAGUCUGUGUUUGUGAUACAAAAGACCUGAAACGAUUACACCCCACAAGACUAGGUUCAGAAUCGCCCUGUAUUUCUUCCCCACACAUAAUGACAUUAAAAUCACCUGCAAUCAUCCAUGGCUCCUUCACUUCACUGGCAACCUAGUCCACCUUAUCCACAACUGAGCCCUUGUGCUUCAUUGUGGACUCGCUUAAACCAUAAUGCAAAGAAACGGGUAUUGACUUCUAUCAUCAUGGAUUUACAUAUGAACAAAUUAAGGAUGAACUUUCAAAAUCUCCACCUGAGUUCCCUUAUUCCACAGUAACCAUAUACCCCUUGCGAAGCCUGAUGCUUCGAAUCUAAAAGAAUACUCAAAACCCAACUUCGCAAUGACUGAAUCUGCCUUAAGAUCACUGAUUCGAGUUUCAAACAAAGUAACAAAAUCUGGAUAAAACACUCUUCUAUACUCCUUUAAAAAUUUAUGGAAAUGGGUCUACACCCUUGAUAGUUCCAAAAUAAAAAUAAAAACAAAAAUUGAAAUCCACCAUCAUCAAAUAAAAAAUAAAGAAAUCGACUUUUACCACUGAAAUCAAGCGGCCUUCGCAUCCACUAGAAAUUCAUCCUUUGAACCUUCAACAUCGACAACAUUCCCCUUCAUCGCCAUAUCUUUCCCAACCUCAUGAUACAACCCUUGUAGAAUAUCUUCUAUUGCCCCCACCACUGACAUUGAAGGCUGCUCACUUUCUGAUAGAUUCGUUAGUUUUUGACCGAUGUUAUCACCCAUUCGCUUCCUGCCUCAUCAUCUAGUCUUUGCCAAAAAUUUUCUCCCAUUUUAUUUUACGAAUCCAAAACUCGAGAGCACUAACCCUUACUUUCAGCGACAUACUUGUUUUGGAAGGAGAUUUUACUGCAACAUUUUUUCCUCCAAU